rnacentral:rRNA from 1 species
AUUGAACGCUGGCGGCAUGCCUUACACAUGCAAGUCGAACGGCAGCACGGGAGCAAUCCUGGUGGCGAGUGGCGAACGGGUGAGUAAUAUAUCGGAACGUGCCCAGUCGUGGGGGAUAACGUAGCGAAAGCUACGCUAAUACCGCAUACGAUCUAUGGAUGAAAGCGGGGGAUCGCAAGACCUCGCGCGAUUGGAGCGGCCGAUAUCAGAUUAGGUUGUUGGUGGGGUAAAAGCUCACCAAGCCUGCGAUCUGUAGCUGGUCUGAGAGGACGACCAGCCACACUGGAACUGAGACACGGUCCAGACUCCUACGGGAGGCAGCAGUGGGGAAUUUUGGACAAUGGGCGCAAGCCUGAUCCAGCAAUGCCGCGUGCGGGAUGAAGGCCUCGGUUGGUAACGUAGCUUUUGUUACGGUAACGUAAACGGACCGUUUUACCGUUAACUUAACUACGAAAGGACG